CUGUUGAUGAUUGUUCAGCAGUUAGUUGUGAUUCCGGUGCUCUCGCAAGAGGGAGUGAGAGCACGUCCCACUACUCUGCCAUCUUGAACCAAUCUCUCUAGCUAAUGUUUUGAUUUCUCCUAUUUAUGAAUGAAGGUCUACAGCCUUACUCUCCAAAUGAAUUCUGCUGCACACUGGUUCCGUGGGAUAUUAAAAGAGAUCAUAAGACAAAAGUUCAGUCGUUCUGCAAGUGUGAGAAAUGAUGAGUUAAACAAAAUAUUUUUUAAAGUUACUGAAGAAAUAACACUAAAUAAUGGUGAGGAUAUGGAGCCACAGAGACUCUCACAUGUUUCUGGGGGGAGAGUGUAAACUGGUACUCUGGAAACUAGUUUGGCAGUUUGCAUACACCUGUAAAUUCCAUUUCUGGGAGUAACUAUCCAGGAAAAAGGUGAAACUUGUUCACAAAAAGUGUAGUACAGAGAAGUAUUUAUAGCAACUUUGUUCAAGCAAAAACUGGAAAACGCUAUUUACCAACAGGAAAAGAGAUAAACACAUUGUAAUAAAUAUGUAUCUUACAGUGGAAUACUCCUCAACCGUUAAAAGUAAUGAACCACAGACACAUGCAGCAACAUGGGUGGACUGUACAGAUACUAUUUUGAGUGAAAGAAGCCAGACACAGAAGAGCACACGCUGUAUAAGAAUCCAUAUACGUGAAGCUUUAGAAUAGGCAAAACUAUCGUUAUAAAGCAGUUGCCUUGGGGGUGGGGGUAGGGGUGAUGGGCAAGGGAUGUGAGGGGACUUUCUGGGGUGAUGAAAAUGUUCAAAAUCUUGAUACAAAUGUGGGUUAUAUGGGUGUGAUCUUUUGUCAAAAUUCACUGAACGUGGUAACUGCACUGAAUGUCAAUUAGACAAUGAAAGUGACUGCAAGAUCUCUCGGAACCUUUGAUAAGCUAAGACAUAUUAUGAAUGUCAAGAGCGGGGUGUGGCACAUAGGGUUUCCCGGCCUAAUCUGAGCCUUGCUGGAGGGGUGUGGGCAGAAAGUGUUCCCUCCUAAGUGUAGGAACUGGGAGCAAAUGGCUGUGUCGGGCACGAACCACAGGAUUCCUUGUGCCUAGUGUCCCAGGUCUCUUAGAGUGCUGCCUGCACCAAGAGGCUGGAGCUGGGGAGGGGCAGGUCUCUGUCCCCUGCUCUGGGGAGUCCAGGCCAUGCCACCUGCUCCCCACCCACCCAGUCCUACAGCUUCUGCUAGUGGGGCCUCAGGGUGUCCACAAGGGAAUUAGGCUGUAAUAGUCAAUAGCAGUAGAGAAGUUUCUGGCAUGGUGGGAGCUACCAUUGCUACCAAGACCCACUUAUGCUUCCCUCUGUGGUGGUUGUGGGGUCCUAUCCCCUCUGUCCUGUGCAGGCCUUCCAGAGCCCUCACUGACUCAGCACACAGUCCUAAUCCGGCAAAGCCUGGAGACAAAGGCUGGGCUGGGUCCGGCUCCAGAGGCCCCCUCCCACCCCUUUGCUCAGCCCUGCCGCCCAGACUCAGGAGGCUCUCAGGGCUCUGGUGGAAAAACUGGUCCCCAGACUUCUCUGAGUGGGUCACGGGCUAUGCUGCACCAGUGGGCUUCUCAUUUUGCUUGUUCUCAUCUGCUUCUCAGCUUCUAGAAAUCCUGCAGAAUGACUAAUUUGUCAAUGGUACUUUUGCCGUUUUCGAACACUGCUAUAGAGAUGUUCUUAUUUUUCUCUUCUGUCAAUGCAAAUGGGGCAGAACAGGUAAUUUAUGAAUGAACCAGGGUGUGUGUGUGUGAAUGUCCAUUCAGCCUGAGCCCAGGCGAAAAGAAGGGGCUGGAGGAGAGAGCGGGGAGGCGGCCUGGCAGGCAGUGGACAGCCAGCCCCAUGAAAGGUCCUUGCUACGCACGGGAAUGACAUUGCUGUGCGGUGGGCCUGACAGAUGCUCCAUGGGAGAUUAGGAAAUAAGUCUGCAUCUCCCCUGGGCCCUGAUACCAUCAGCGGUUAAGAGGCCUGUCGGAUUUCAUUACAAAUCUUCCAUUCCUAGGGCUUAGAGCUCAGCCUCCAGACUCACAGGUGUGGGAGGACAGUGGGCCACAGCAAGGGCAUUUUGCUUUUAAUUGUGGUCAUUAAUCUGACACCAACAGCUGGUCUAUCCUGCAGGUGAAGGGGGGGGUGACAGGAAAGCCAUCAACUGGGAGCCCGCUGACUCUGCUGCUUUGCUCUCUAGGAAGUGGGGAGAGAGAGGGAAAAGCUUCCUAAUCUUGCUUUCAGGGCCCCCUUUCCUGGCCUCACUGGGAAGGAUCUAGGUUUGCUUUCUCCCCGGAUUUUGUGGGAGCUUCCUGGAGCCUGUAGAUGACUAGCUCCCAAGUCAUGUUCCUCUUAUUUUUCCAGGGCCACAGUGGUGUAUGGUGGCACCUUGCCUCAGGCCAGGCCCUGUCCCAAAGUCAGGUUAUGUCCCAGUGAGAAGGGUGGAGUGGGACUCCUUACCAGGGCUUACCAGGUAAGCAUCUGGAGCAGCCCAAUGAGGCGCACGACACAGUAGGGAGAGGCCCAGAGCCAGAUGGGACAGAGCUAGAGAGAAGGCCAGCAUAGCCACAAAAUGGGAAGGUGGGCCAGACAGCGUAUGUGUGUGCACGCGUUUGCGUGUGAUGGGGAGGGUGGACAGGCGAAUUUCACCCUGGCAAAUUCUAUCCCGUCUCCAUCCAUCCACAACCCUGAGCUGGCACUCCACAGGAACAGCUCUGACAGGCCCCGGGGGCGAUUUAGAGGCGUGGGUCCGCCCUGGGAGCUUGCCAGCAUCGGACAAGUACCCAGUGGCAGAUGGGCCAGAAUGGGGCAGAGAGCAGGUGCGGAGAGGCCCCAUGGGGUUGGGGAGAAUGUAGGCAGAUAGAGACCUUGAAGGUUGAAUGGAAUCCUGACAGGCAGAGACAGCGUGGUGAGUGCAUGGGGAAGGGGUGUACUGCUGGCUGUCCUGGCAAAGCACCGACCAAAGGGUUUGCUGAAGGGUGGGGACCUACUAAAAAGAGGGUCCACUAACAGUGAGCUUGAUUCCUAGGUGGCAGGCCUGGGGUCCAGUUUCCGGGGUUAGAGGCUGCCUCUGUGAGGACACCUUUCGGAAGAUGGUCCUCAGACCCCCUCAGCCUGAAGGGGGCCAAGAGCAAGGCUGGGGCAGCCAUAAUCACAGCAGUCAUCGACUACCAUGUGCCAGGACCCUGGGGACCCCACGCCAGCCCUGGGGGCGGGGGCUGAUGCCGGCGUGGUGAGUCACUGAGGCUUGGAGAGGACAGGGACUUGUCCAGGGUCACACAGGGCGAAGCGUGUUUGAACCCAGGCCCUUCUUGCUAUACUGUGGGGCCUUCAAGAGGAAAGUGCAGCCUGGCUCAACUCCUCCCACCAGCAAGAAGGGCCUGGGCAUGGAUGGGGGAGGAAACAAGAUGCCCAGGUCGGCCCUGGUGCUUCUGCAGAUGACGUUUGGCGCUGGGAAGGUCUUUCAAUUCCUCAAAGGAAAACCUAAACACUUGUCAUCUAUUAGGGAUAAUUUGGGGUAAAGAGUCAAUAAGGCCCCAUUUGAACAUGGAGCACACUUAUUUGGGGUAGGUCUGGCUCAGCCUGGGGAGCUGCUGCUUGCUCUCCCACUUGCGAAGCUUAGUGACCUUGGGCAAGUCAUCGCCCCUCUCCAUGCCCAGGCUUUCUCACUGGUGAAAUAGGGUAAGAACAGGAUCCACCUCACAGGGUUAUACUGAAGAUGGAAUGCAUCAUGCAGGCAAAGCACAGGUAAUGGUAUCUGGCUGAAGAAAGCUGCUAGAGGUGAGCUAUUGCUGCUAUUGCAAGUCUUAGCACCUCGCAGAACCAUUCAGAGGAAGAACAACCACCAUUCAACAACUUGGCUCCAAGUUGCCAAGGAGCUUGUCCAAAAGGGAAGGUGUCACCCCUCCCUGCCUCCUCACCUGCUCCCUCCCAGGGUUUCCUCGGGACACCUGACCAAGCCAGGAAACGUUGACUCUACUUCCUAAAUAUUUCAGGACCCAGCGCUGCUCUUCCAUCUCUAUGGCAAUGAGCUGAGCUGAGGGGCUCCCAGCUUCCCUCACCUUACAGCAAUGGAGAAACCUCAUUAAGCCGAGACAAGAGAACUGGGUCAUGCCCUGCUGAUGCCAAGCAGGGGCUUGUGAAUGAAGCAGGCUGUUGAAUUUCAGACAUAAGAAAUAAUCUGCUCCUUGCACCCGCCUGAUCACUUUAUUAGCACAAAAGAUAAAUUUAAACCUCUGACUUAUGACAAAAGGAAGUAAGUCUGCACUAUCCUCCUAAUUAAACCAAGAGAAGCCAGCUAGAUGCAAGGACACCAGGCCCACUCAAUUAAUUAACAUUUAUUACAAUCAGAAAAUAAUCUAAUUCAAUUAAAAUGUCUCCACAAAAGCGGUUUAAUGACUUUCCCCAAAAUAAAGUACAUUCGACUGGAGCAUUUAUUAUGCCAGGGACCAGUGUCAUUCAUGAGGGAGCUGAAAUGACAGCCCUGAUGUGGCUCUGUGGAAAGGGGAGGACAGGGCAGGCGGGGCCGGGGAGGGCUUGGCCGAGCCUCUCGUCAAGAGAGAGGGGAUGCUUCUGGACAGCAACCCUCUAGUGAAGAGGCAGGCCCAGAGCCAGAGGAGCUGCCCACAGCUGCCUUCACCCUCACCCCCACUUCCUGCUUCAGACCCCUUCCCUCCUGCCAGCUCAUCACUGUGCCUGGUACCCCCUUCCCCUUAUAGGAUCAAGCUUGGGUAAGGUAAGGAAUUAAGGGGCAGGCUUGGAUUCAGGAGCCUGAGCCCCUUUCUGCCUGUGUCACCUUGGGCAGGUAGGAGGUGUUUAGAGAAAGGACUGUUAGCAGGGCUUUCUGAAACUUAGCCAGGAGAUAUUUGCAAAGCCGGAGAAACUGCCAUUUGAAAGCUGCAAGCAGUUUUCUGACUCUCAUGAGGCAGAGAUUUGAAUUCAUAGUGCCUUUGUUCAGCAAAAAUCCCGUGGUGGGUCCUUAGUUAUAAAAACAGAAAGCAAAUACUUGGAGCUCAUCCUUCGGAGCUAACAAUAUCUGAGCACGUACUAUUGCCAGGCAGAGGGCUAAACACAUUUGUUGGACGACGUCCUUUAAUCCUCACAACAACCCUGCAAGUUAGAACUCUCCAUUGAAACCGAGGCUCAAAGUGUGCCUGAGGACCACGGUUAGUUAGAGGCGAACCCUGGAUCCAAACCCGGGCAGCCAGACUCAGGGCAGAGAGGCCCCCAGCAAGCUCAGAAUAACUGUGGGACUCGGCGGGGGUGGGGGUGGGGGCGGAGGGAGGCCUCUGUCAUUGGACUUGGGUGGGGCCCCAGAGUCUGUCCUGUUGAAAAGCCCCCUGGAGACUCUGGUGCUCUGAUCUUGGAGACUGAAAUCUCUACAUCCACCCUGUCUCCUGGCGUCACACCUUGCCCAACACCCCUGCUCAGCUGUGGCCUCAGAAGAAGGACAGUAUGAAUUAAGCCCCUUCUCAUCCAGUUCAAUUGCACCUACAUUGUCUGAACUUUAUACAGUCACCAGCAUUGAGUAUACGCUUUAAAAAGAGCUCUGUUAACUUGAUAGGCAGAAAAUGGGAGGCCAACAACAGGAUCCUAACUAAAAAAGAAAAAGGCGGAGGAAACAACACUUGCGGGAUAUAUAGCAAAUGUUAGUGAUGGUCACUUCUGGAUGGUGACCAGCUUCUGGUGGGUCAACUUUAUUUUCGAUUUUCUACUGUAAACAGACAUCACUUUUAUAAUCAGAAAAAGCUAUUAAAAUGGUUUUUAGGUAUGCCCUCUUAGUUUUUCAUUUCUCUUAUUUCUAGAAAGUUUAAGUGUUUGGAUUCUUCUAUGACUUGUCUGUUCUCAUCUCUCUAUUGGCAUUUUAUGUUCUUAAUGAUGUGUAUAAGCUUUUUAUAACAGGAUUUUAACCCUAUGUCCAUUAUAUUUGUUGAAAUGGUUUUCCUGGCUGGUUAUUUACUUUUCAAUUUUGUUUCUAAUGUUUUCAGUGCUCGAAGGUUUAUCAUCUUUAUGUAGUCAAACCUAUUGAUCUUUUCCUUUCAGGUGCCUUCUGUUGCUUUAUAAGUUAGAAAAUCCUUUAUCAACAGCAGAUAAAACAGAACUUUGGGCAUGGUGUGAGACACGCAGCAAGUGUGCAGGAAACAGCUGCCAGACUGAAGGACAGAGUGUCAGCAGAGUUGGUCAUCAUUCCGAAAUGAAAAUGGACAGCCAAGGCAGCAAGAAGGGCUCAUGACAAGUAACACAGAUGAGAACGGGAAGGGAGAGGACAACAGAAGAGAUGAUCAUCACCAAACUGGGAAAGAUGCACUGGAGUUUAUAAAUAUAGAUGCCACACAGCACACUGUGCACCAGCCUUGUCAAAUUAGUAGGCCUCUCCUUGGCUGCCCCCAGCACUCACUGUAUCACCCCCUGGCAGUGGGCAUCAGCAACUUAGGAGGAAGGGUCUUAAUCUAUUUGGGCAUUAUUACUGUGCUAGGUCCCACCACAGUUAAAUGUAAGCACCAGCUGGCAAACCACAGGGGACAUCAACUUCAUGCCAAAUGAUAAAACAAAGCUUUAAGACCACUUCAGGCUCAGGCUUAGCCUCAAAUAAAGAGAUACAUGGACCAAUUUAAAGAAUGUCAGUGGUGUAGCAGCUGACAGACUCAAUUUUUAAAGAUCUCAUUAAUGAGAACCUCUCCAAGAACAGAGAUUAUUUAUUUGGGGGUAAGUUAUCUAUGUAAUUUGAAUAUUGCACUCUGCCAACAAAUUCCAGUACAUGGGAAACUAUUUUUAAAUGUGAAUGAAGCUAACUUAAAAGAUAGGAACACAGUCUAUAGUUUCUUUUUAAAUAGAGAUAAUUACAUUUUUAGGAAGUACAACAAAUGCACAAACAAAUGUUCAGAGCUGUCACUCUCACUUUUUUAAAAAACAUCCAGAUAAUCUAAAAAUGUGCAAUUCUUUCAUCUUUGGUUCAAAUAGUUAACUUUGCAUUGUGUGGCACAGAAUUGUUAUUCCUCAAUAAUUAUUUGUUGAGUAAAUGAAUGAAUGAUAUACUUUUCAGAAUGAUUUUUUUUCAAGCUGCCAUUUAUGAUGACAUUGCUCCAUAAUUACAACCAUCAAGGCUGCCAAUGUAAUGACUUCCUUUAAGUUUAUCUAUUCUUUAAAAUUUAACACCGAUGGUCAAUACAUUGCCAAAGGAAGUUCUGGAGAUAGAAGACUUUCAGGUGUUUUCUUUCAGUGUUUGAACAGUGCAGCCUUGAGGAGAUGCUCUAGGUAAGUAAGAUGAGAAAUGUGGACAGUUUCACGUGGAAAGGAAACUGAGGUAUGGCUUACAUAAUUCCUUAAUUAGGAACCCCCUGAUUAAGUCUCAUUUUAGAAAAAAAAGCCAGUUGAUAAAUGAACACACAAACUAGGACUUGAAAUUUUCCUGUAUGAACUUUCCUCAGGAGAGCUCAGUUUCCCUAACCGGAAACUUACAUAGUCAAAUGCUAAGUCAUUUUUGGCACAUUCAUCCAAACAUGUUCUCAGCACCUUCUGUGUGUUUUAGAUAACGUGCUAGGUUGUAGGCACAAAGAAAGAGGAACAAGCCAAAAUUCUGUCCAGUAAAGGGAGACUAGAUAGAUCUUUCUAAAAAGUAACGUCUAGAGUACUCGGUUAAAAAGUGAGUGAAGGAGAGCUGAAGUCACCAACUAAUUUCCAACAGAGUAGAAGUCAUUACAAGAUCCUGAUUUCAGCAGGCUGAUAAAGUGGUCAGGUGUGCCACAUAAAAAUCUAGCGAUAUUCUAGACAUUUUGAGACAGACAUAAGAAACGUGGGGAAAUGUUGAAGGUCUGAUUAAAAAAACUUUCUAUCACUUCUUUAGGAAAUCAUUUUGGUGGCAGAUACCCUGCUAAAUUCAGUUUCGGGUGUAUUAAAGUGCUAUAGAUCAGAGUUUGUUCAGUGAUCAUCACAUAUCACCAUCACCCAGAGGAAAACCAUCACUCUAUAAGGGGCAACCUUCCUAAGCAGUUGUCAAGUGCAUAAAAACCAAUAAUGAUUUUUGUGCCCACAGAAGACAAUACAAAUCCCCCAAAUAAGCAAGUCUUUAAAGCAGUGCUGUCCAACAGAACUUUCUGUGAUGACAGAAAUGUUCUGUAUCUCUGCAUGUUGAAUACAGUAGCUAUUAGCCACAUGUGGCUACUGAGCGCUUGAAAUGUUGCUAGUGAGACUGAAGAACUGAAUUUUUAUUUACAUUUCAAUGAAUUUAAAUUUAAAUAGCCAGAUGUGGCUAGUGGCUACCAUACUGUAUACUGUAGCUCUAAAAUCUAUAAUUAAUUCUGUUAUAAACAAAAUAAAGUUUGCUUUAUUUAUGUUAAGGACAAGAAAAAAGGCAGCUGAAUUAACCCUGGAGAGGGAUCUCUAAGGUGAAAAACAAAUGGAUGGUUCGCAUAAGUCGGUAGCUUUUUGUGGGAAUGGUUGAAUCACAACAGCUCUUGUUAUACCAUAGCAGAGAAAGGAAGCUGUCUCAAAGGUAGAGGUCUAACGGGAGAUUCUGACAUACGGUAAUGAAGGCCUAUUCCAAUCCAGUUUUUUUUUUUUUUUUGACUUAUUAGUUUUCAGAACUAUCUAAGAAAUGUGGGAACUACAAAACAAAUGCAAACCAUGUCCCUUUGUUUCGCUAUAACUAGCAGACCUUGGGGGACUGGGUCUGUCGCAGUACUUCGCUGUUAUUUGUUAUGUCUCCUCUGGUCCCUGUUGGCCACCUUGGUGUCCUGUCUCCUCUAUCAUGUUUCACUCUCUCAGUCAUCAGUUGUAUAGGCAGUCCACAACUUUUUGGACUUGGAUUUUGUUGCUCUGCUUAUUCAACAUUUCUAAUAAACAUUCGAAAUUAUUUCUGCUUUAUGUUACAUUUUCUGGCUAGCACAUCAAACAUAUUGAAAAAAGAAAGCAACAGUAUAUUUUGGUGUAGAAAUAAAGGAACUUCACAAUUAUUAAGCA